rnacentral:rRNA from 1 species
UACAGAGGGUGCAAACGUUGCUCGGAAUUAUUGGGCGUAAAGCGCGCGUAGGUGGUCUGAUAAGUCGGGUGUGAAAGCCCUCGGCUUAACCGAGGAAGUGCAUUCGAAACUGUCAGACUUGAGUACUGAAGAGGAUCGCGGAAUUCCCGGUGUAGAGGUGAAAUUCGUAGAUAUCGGGAGGAACACCAGUGGCGAAGGCGGCGAUCUGGGCAGAUACUGACACUGAGGCGCGAAAGCGUGGGGAGCAAACAGG